AACAGAUUUGAGAGCCCUGAGUAGAGUAGUCCAUCACAGCCUGGAGUUCCUUUACCUAAGGUAACCAAUGAAGACUGGCAAAUAGCUUGUAGCAACAGUAAAUAUCCUAAAAACAAGACUCCAGUUUAUAAAAAGAACUAAUUGGGUUCCCCCACAUAUUAUAAAAGGAAUACUAAUUCCUGAAGCACCUGCAUUUUAUACUGAUGCAACUUGGACAGCAUACAGUCAGCAGUUUGAAGCAAGGCCAGUUUCUUGCCUGGUGGCAGCUUGCCACAUUUGAAGCAAACUCCACAAGGAUGUUCUUCAAUGUUCAUUAUCUUCUUUGAAAUUGUAUGGGGGUACUGCCAGAAUGUGACAUGUCUCAUUGUCAAAAAAGUCUUAAGCUAAUAAAACAUCUUUAAAUGCCAUCUAUCUCAGUGUAUUUGAAUAGGGAAACGUUGCUUGUCUCUAGUGUACUCUCUGAUUAACUUUGAAAACAUCCAUGAUCCAUAAACUAAUACCUAACAAAACU
ensembl:antisense Gm43732 predicted gene 43732